rnacentral:misc_RNA from 1 species
AACUAUCAAAAUGCCUUUCUCGGGUGUUUUGGACUUUGGGAGUAUCUUGCUGGUCUGUUUGAGCCAGCUCUCCUUAAAAGCAUUAGCUUUGGAGACCAUCAGUGUGAUAAUUUGUUUACACUGACUUGAGUGUCUCGGCUUCUCAUUUUUAAUGCCC